rnacentral:rRNA from 1 species
AUACGGAGGGUGCAAGCGUUGUUCGGAAUUACUGGGCGUAAAGCGCGCGUAGGCGGUCUGUUAUGUCAGAUGUGAAAGUCCUCGGCUCAACCGGGGAAGUGCAUUUGAAACCGGCAGACUUGAGUAUUGGAGGGGGUAGUGGAAUUCCCGGUGUAGAGGUGAAAUUCGUAGAUAUCGGGAGGAAUACCGGUGGCGAAGGCGACUACCUGGCCAAAUACUGACGCUGAGGUGCGAAAGCGUGGGGAGCAAACAGGAUUAGAUACCCUAGUAGUCC